rnacentral:rRNA from 1 species
GAUGAACGCUAGCGGCAGGCCUAACACAUGCAAGUCGAGGGAGAAGCCCUCCGGGGCAGAAACCGGCGCACGGGUGCGUAACGCGUAUGCAACCUACCUUUCACAGGGGGAUAGCCCGGAGAAAUUUGGAUUAAUAUCCCAUAAUAUUGUUGGAUGGCAUCAUUUGGCAAUUAAAGUUACGAUGGUGGAAGAUGGGCAUGCGUCCUAUUAGCUAGUUGGCGAGGUAACGGCUCGCCAAGGCGACGAUAGGUAGGGGUCCUGAGAGGGAGAUCCCCCACCCUGGUACUGAGACAGGGACCAGACUCCUACGGGAGGCAGCAGUGAGGAAUAUUGGUCAAUGGUCGGAAGACUGAACCAGCCAUGCCGCGUGCAGGAAGGCGGCCUUAUGGGUUGUAAACUGCUUUUAUAUGGGAAGAAUAAAGGGGUACGUGUACUUUGAUGACGGUACCA